GGAAUACCCGCUGAACUUAAGCAUAUCAAUAAGGCGGAGGAAAAAAAGAA
rnacentral:rRNA from 1 species